GAUGAAGAACGCAGCGAAAUGCGAUAACUAAUGCGAAUUGCAGAAUUCCGUGAAUCAUCGAGUCUUUGAACGCACAUUGCGCCCCCUGGUAUUCCGGGGGGCAUGCCUGUCCGAGCGUCAUUGCUGCCCAUCAAGCACGGCUUGUGUGUUGGGUCCUCGUCCCCCCCGGGGGACGUGCCCGAAAGGCAGCGGCGGCACCGCGUCCGGUCCUCGAGCGUAUGGGGCUUUGUCACCCGCUCUGCAGGCCCGGCCGGCGCUGGCCGACGCGAAAGCAACCAUUUUUUCUCCAGGUUGACCUCGGAUCAGGUAGGGAUACCCGCUGAACUUAAGCAUAUCAAUAAGCGGAGGA
rnacentral:misc_RNA from 1 species